rnacentral:rRNA from 14 species
AUUGUCGCUUGAUUUUCAUUGCGUAGAAUAGGUGGGAGACGUUGAUCCUUCGUUCCAGGACGAAGGUUAGUCGAAAUGUGAAAUACCACUCUUUGUUGGUUAGGCGUCUAACCUCUUUCCAUUAUCUGGAGGAGGGACAGUGAUAGCAGGUCAGUUUUACUGGGGCGGUAUCCUCCCAAAAAGUAACGGAGGAUUUCGAAGGUUCCCUCAGCCCGGUCGGUAAUCGGGCUACAGAGCGCAAGAGUAUAAGGGAGCUUUACUGUGAGACCUACAAGUCGAGCAGUUGCGAAAGCAGGAUCUAGUGAUCCGGUGGUUGAAUGUGGAAUCGCCAUCGCUCAUAGGACAAAAGGUACGCUAGGGAUAACAGGCUGAUCGCGCCCAAGCGUUCACAGCGACGGCGCGGUUUGGCACCUCGAUGUCGGCUCAUCACAUCCUGGGGCUGGAGAAGGUCCCAAGGGUUCGGCUGUUCGCC